GACGAACGCUGGCGGCGUGCCUAAUACAUGCAAGUUGAGCGCUGAAGGUUGGUACUUGUACCGACUGGAUGAGCAGCGAACGGGUGAGUAACGCGUGGGGAAUCUGCCUUUGAGCGGGGGACAACAUUUGGAAACGAAUGCUAAUACCGCAUAAAAACUUUAAACACAAGUUUUAAGUUUGAAAGAUGCAAUUGCAUCACUCAAAGAUGAUCCCGCGUUGUAUUAGCUAGUUGGUGAGGUAAAGGCUCACCAAGGCGAUGAUACAUAGCCGACCUGAGAGGGUGAUCGGCCAAAUUGGGACUGAGACACGGCCCAAACUCCUACGGGAGGCAGCAGUAGGGAAUCUUCGGCAAUGGACGAAAGGCUGACCGAGCAACGCCGCGUGAGUGAAGAAGGGUUUCGGAUCGUAAAACUCUGUUGGUAGAGAAGAACGUUGGUGAGAGUGGAAAGCUCAUCAAGUGACGGUAACUACCCAGAAAGGGACGGCUAACUACGUG
rnacentral:rRNA from 1 species